rnacentral:rRNA from 1 species
CACGUAGGGGGGGAGCGUUGUCCGGAUUUAUUGGGCGUAAAGAGCUCGUAGGCGGUUCGGCAAGUCGGGGGUGAAAUUUCGAGGCUCAACCUCGAAACGCCACUCGAUACUGCUGUGACUGGAGUCCGGUAGAGGAGUGCGGAAUUCCUGGUGUAGCGGUCAAAUGCGCAGAUAUCAGGAGGAACACCAGUGGCGAAGGCGGUGCUCUGGGCCGGAACUGACGCUGAGGAGCGAAAGCUUGGGGAGCAAACAGG